rnacentral:rRNA from 1 species
UACGGGGGGGCAAGCGUUGUUCGGAAUUACUGGGCGUAAAGAGCUCGUAGGCGGUCUGUCGCGUCUGCUGUGAAAACUCAGGGCUUAACCCUGAGCUUGCAGUGGGUACGGGCAGACUAGAGUGCGGUAGGGGAGACUGGAAUUCCUGGUGUAGCGGUGAAAUGCGCAGAUAUCAGGAGGAACACCGGUGGCGAAGGCGGGUCUCUGGGCCGUAACUGACGCUGAGGAGCGAAAGCAUGGGGAGCGAACAGG